rnacentral:rRNA from 1 species
AUAAGGRAUCGUACCUGCCCGGUGUUAAGUAAUUAUAUUAACGGCCGCAGUAUUCUGACUGUGCGAAGGUAGCAUAAUCAUUUGCCUUGUAAUUGAAGGCUGGAAUGAAUGGUUUGACGAGAGUUAUGCUGUCUCUGGAUGAAUUUUAUAGAAUUUUUUGUUUAUGUGAAGAAUCAUAAAUUUAAUUAAUAGACAAGAAGACCCUAUUGAGCUUUAAUUAUUUGUUUAUGUGUGUAGGAUUUUGAAUAAAUGUGGAUUUUUGUUGGGGCAACUGAGGAACAUGACGAAGCUUCCUUAAUUAUGGUUGAUUAAGAUGUGUAUUGAUCCAAUAUGAGUGAUUAGUAGAAAUAGUUACCAUAGGGAUAACAGCAUUAUUUUAUUUGAGAGUUCUUAUCGAAAAUUAAAGUUUGUGACCUCGAUGUUGGAUCAAAAUAUCCUGAUGGAGCAGAGUCUUUUAAGGGUUAGUCUGUUCGACUAUAAAAAUUUUA